UGUUAAUGAUGAUAAUUCAAAAGGCUUGUUUCUCAAAAAACAUUCGCAGUGGCCGCCUAAGAGCUUUCGCCUUUCGCCAGGCUUGAGAGUUAAUGCUGCUUCUAUCCUUCCUUGGAUGUCUGAAACU
rfam:Brassica napus, WGS project CCCW01000000 data, contig: 22309